rnacentral:lncRNA from 1 species
CAGAAUGGGGAGGUGGAGUGCUCCUUCAUGCCCUGCCCUGAGCUGGCCUGCCCCCGAGAAGAGUGGCGGCUGGGCCCUGGGCAGUGUUGCUUCACCUGCCAGGAGCCCACACCCUCGACAGGCUGCUCUCUUGACGACAACGGGGUUGAGUUUCCGAUUGGACAGAUCUGGUCGCCUGGUGACCCCUGUGAGUUAUGCAUCUGCCAGGUGAAUGACAACCUGCUCGCCUUCAGCUGCUUUACCUGGCUGCCCCGCCUCACCCAGAGGAGACAAGCGUCCUGGCCCCUCCAGAGGCUGGCCUCAGGCUGGCCGCAGUCUCCCUCCGGUGCUGUCAAGUUCCACUUUCACAAAAAGGGUUGGACCGAGUUUAUCCUGCUCUCAGUAGAUGUGUGAGGACGAUGGUGCUUGGCAGUUGGCCUUAAGAAGUGUGUAUUGUUGGCCAGGUGCGGUGGCUCACGCCUGUAAUCCCAGCACUUUGGGAGGCCGAGGUGGGUGGAUCACAAGGUCAGGAGAUCGAGACCAUCCUGGCUAACAUGGUGAAACCCUGUCUCUACUAAAAAUACAAAAUAUUAGCCGAGCGUGGUGGUAGGUGCCUGUGGUCCCAGCUACUUGGGAGGCUGAGGCAGGAGAAUCGUUUGAACCCGGGAGGAGGAGGUUGCAGUGAGCUGAGAUCACGCCACUGCACCCCAGCCUGGCGACAAAGCAAGAAGGAGUCUC